rnacentral:rRNA from 1 species
UACGAAGGGGGCUAGCGUUGCUCGGAUUGACUGGGCGUAAAGGGCGCGUAGGCGGUUCGUACAGUCAGGCGUGAAAUUCCUGGGCUCAACCUGGGGGCUGCGCUUAAUACAUCCAGACUGGAGUGUGAAAGAGGGUCGUGGAAUUCCCAGUGUAGAGGUGAAAUUCGUAGAUAUUCGCAAGAACACCAGUGGCGAAGGCGGCUCACUGGCCCGGUACUGACGCUGAGGUGCGAAAGCGUGGGGAGCAAACAGG